AUUGAACGCUGGCGGCAGGCCUAACACAUGCAAGUCGAACGGUAACAGGAAGCAGCUUGCUGCUUCGCUGACGAGUGGCGGACGGGUGAGUAAUGUCUGGGAAGCUGCCUGAUGGAGGGGGAUAACUACUGGAAACGGUAGCUAAUACCGCAUAAUGUCGCAAGACCAAAGAGGGGGACCUUCGGGCCUCUUGCCAUCGGAUGUGCCCAGAUGGGAUUAGCUUGUUGGUGGGGUAACGGCUCACCAAGGCGACGAUCCCUAGCUGGUCUGAGAGGAUGACCAGCCACACUGGGACUGAGACACGGUCCAGACUCCUACGGGAGGCAGCAGUGGGGAAUAUUGCACAAUGGGCGCAAGCCUGAUGCAGCCAUGCCGCGUGUAUGAAGAAGGCCUUCGGGUUGUAAAGUACUUUCAGCGGGGAGGAAGGAAGUAAAGUUAAUACCUUUGCUCAUUGACGUUACCCGCAGAAGAAGCACCGGCUAACUCCGUG
rnacentral:rRNA from 1 species